AAAAUACGUUUGAUCUAAAAUUUUGAGAAAUUAUUUUAUAAUAUUUUACUACACAAAAGUUGAUUAUUAAGUAAAAUAUAAUAUUUUUAUAUUAAUAUAUUAUAGCUGCCGACUGGGUAUAAAGCUGGUUCUGCAAACCCAAUGUUUAAAAUGCAUGACUUUUACUUCACUACCAAACUUUAAUUUCAAACAUGUCUAAUGUUAAAAUGCUUGCGAUUAUCAUGGUUUUUGUACUUCUGUGCUACCUUAGCAACCCUUCGGUCCAGGAUUGGAAAAUUUCAAGCCAGGCUAAUAUGUGAAAG
rnacentral:lncRNA from 1 species